rnacentral:rRNA from 1 species
CGAAUUGCGAUACGUAAUGUGAAUUGCAGAAUUCAGUGAAUCAUCGAAUCUUUGAACGCACCUUGCG